UACGUAGGGUGCGAGCGUUGUCCGGAAUUAUUGGGCGUAAAGGGCUCGUAGGCGGUUUGUCGCGUCGGGAGUGAAAACACACAGCUUAACUGUGUGCUUGCUUCCGAUACGGGCAGACUAGAGGUAUGCAGGGGAGAACGGAAUUCCUGGUGUAGCGGUGAAAUGCGCAGAUAUCAGGAGGAACACCGGUGGCGAAGGCGGUUCCCUGGGCAUUACCUGACGCUGAGGAGCGAAAGUGUGGGGAGCGAACAGG
rnacentral:rRNA from 1 species